rnacentral:rRNA from 1 species
UACAGAGGGGGCAAGCGUUGUUCGGAAUUACUGGGCGUAAAGGGCGCGUAGGCGGCCUGCUAAGUCGAACGUGAAAUCCCCGGGCUCAACCCGGGAACUGCGUCCGAUACUGGCAGGCUUGAAUCCGGGAGAGGGAUGCGGAAUUCCAGGUGUAGCGGUGAAAUGCGUAGAUAUUGGGAGGAACACCAGUGGCGAAGGCGGCUACCUGGACCGGUUCUGACGCUGAGGCGCGAAAGCGUGGGUAGCAAACAGG